rnacentral:rRNA from 1 species
ACUCCGGCAUGCCUCAGUAGCGGCGAGUGAGCGGCAAGAGCUCAGAUUUGAAAUCGCAGCACCAUGCUGCGAGUUGUAGAUUGCAGGUGGGAGAGUCUGCGUAGGCCGGUGUCGAAGUCCCUUGGAACAGGGCGCCACUGAGGGUGAGAGCCCCGUGCGAUGCCACGCUCUACGUUUUGUACUCCCCUCUGACGAGUCGAGUUGUUUGGGAAUGCAGCUCUAAGUGGGUGGUAAAUUCCAUCUAAGGCUAAAUACUGGCGAGAGACCGAUAGCGAACAAGUACUGUGAAGGAAAGAUGAAAAGCACUUUGAAAAGAGAGUGAAACAGCACGUGAAAUUGUUGAAAGGGAAGGGUAUUGGGCCCGACAUGGGAAUCGCGCACCGCUGCUCCUUGUGGGCGGCGCUCUGGGCUUUUCCUGGGCCAGCAUCGGUUCUUGCUGCAGGAGAAGGGGCUGUGGAAUGUGGCUGCCGCGCUUUGCCGGGGCAGUGUUAUAGCCACUGGGCCAGAUGCUGCGUGUGGGGACCGAGGACUGCGGCCGCAAGGUCUCGGAUGCUGGCACAACGGCGCAAUACCGCCCGUCUUGAA